rnacentral:rRNA from 1 species
GGCCGCAGUAUUUUAACUGUGCAAAGGUAGCAUAAUCAUUAGUCUUUUAAUUGAAGGCUGGUAUGAAUGGUUGGACGAGAUAUUAACUGUUUUAAAUAAAUUUAAAAUAGAAUUUUAUUUUUUAGUUAAAAAGCUAAAAUUUUUUUAAAAGACGAGAAGACCCUAUAAAUCUUUAUACUUAUAUUUAUUAUAUUUUUAUAGAUUUUUUUUAUACAAUAAAUAUAAUUAUUUUUUUGGGGUGAUAUUAAAAUUUAAAAAACUUUUAAUUUUUAAUUAUCAUAAAUAAAUGAAUAUUUGAUCCGUUAUUAACGAUUAAAAUAUUAAGUUACUUUAGGGAUAACAGCGUAAUUUUUUUGGAGAGUUCAUAUUAAUAAAAAAUAUUGCGACCUCGAUGUUGGAUU